rnacentral:rRNA from 1 species
GGUUACGGGGGAUUAGGGUUCGAUUCCGGAGAGGGAGCCUGAGAAACGGCUACCACAUCUAGGAAGGCAGCAGGCGCGCAAAUUACCCAAUUCUAACAGCAUAAGAGAGGUAGUGACAAGAAAUAACAGUACAAGGCAGUUAAAAUGCUUUGUAAUUGGAAUGAUAGAAAUUUAAACACUUUUUAAAGUAUCAAUUGGAGGGCAAGUCUGGUGCCAGCAGCCGCGGUAAUUCCAGCUCCNAUAGCGUAUAUUAAAAUUGUUGCAGUUAAAAAGCUCGUAGUUGAAUUUCUGCUAAAAAUAACCGGUUUGCUUUUAUUAAUAAAAGUGGUAUCUUGGUGUGUUUUUAGCAAUAAUGUCCUUUGAAAUGUUUUUUACUUUAUUGUAAGAAGCAAUAUUCAGGAUUUUUACUUUGAGAAAAUUAGAGUGUUUCAAGCAGGCUAACGUUUUGAAUACUGCAGCAUGGAAUAAUAAAAUAGGAUUUUGGUUCUACAUUAUUGGUUUUAAGAACUAAAUUAAUGAUUGAUAGGGGCAGUUGGGGGCAUUUGUAUUUAACUGUCAGAGGUGAAAUCUUAAGAUAUGAGAAA